rnacentral:misc_RNA from 1 species
AGAAAAUGGAGGGAUUAAGGAAUGCUGCUGCUGCAUGUAAUGGGGAUUGAAGAAGCAUGCUCCAUCUCCUGUCAAUUAUAUCCCAAAUCGGCACAAACUUUUCAUCUACGUCCUUAUAAAAUGCUUUGAUGGAGAGCUUUGCUCUUUCCACUCCAUCGUACAUAUAGGCCAUAGCAGGCAUGUCUCCGUCGACAAUCCUCAACAGUUUAAGUAGAGGUUCAGAAACCGUAACAGCUUCACGUGCGGAUCUCCAAAAUCUUUCAAGGCACAACAAUGACUUUAUGGCUUGGACUUCAGGGUGCCUACUAUAUAUGGAUGACAACCACUCAGCAUGAGAGAACAUGUGUUUCAAAUUAUCCUCUUGAAUUACAAGGGCCCGUAAAGAGAGAAAAAUUGCUAUGAAGUUUGUAAAUCUUGGUCGAACGAGGACAAACUCCCCUCCACCUGAAAAUUUUCUCAUCAUAUCUAGCAUCCAGUCAUUACUGUAU